rnacentral:misc_RNA from 1 species
GAUGAAGAACGUAGCGAAAUGCGAUAAGUAGUGUGAAUUGCAGAAUUCAGUGAAUCAUCGAAUCUUUGAACGCACAUUGCGCCCCUUGGUAUUCCAUGGGGCAUGCCUGUUCGAGCGUCAUCUACACCCUCAAGCUCUGCUUGGUGUUGGGCGUCUGUCCCGCCCCCGCGCGUGGACUCGCCCCAAAUCCAUUGGCAGCGUUCCUUGCCCCCUCUCGCGCAGCACAUUGCGCUUCUCGAGGGCGGCUCCGGGACGCGAUCCAGCAAGAUGACCACCGUCUUUGACCUCGGAUCAGGUAGGGAUACCCGCUGAACUUAAGCAUAUCAUAAGCGGAGGA